ACGUAGGGUGCGAGCGUUAAUCGGAAUUACUGGGCGUAAAGCGUGCGCAGGCGGUUGUGUAAGUGAGAUGUGAAAUCCCCGGGCUCAACUCUGGAAAGCCUUUGAAACUGGAAGGCUUGAGUGCAGGAGAGGAGAGUGGAAUUCCACGUGUAGCGGUGAAAUGCGUAGAUAUGAGGAGGAAUACCGGUGGCGAAGGCGGCUCACUGGACUGUUACUGACGCUGAUGCACGAAAGCGUGGGGAGCAAACAG
rnacentral:rRNA from 1 species